GAUGAACGCUAGCGACAGGCUUAACACAUGCAAGUCGAGGGGCAGCGGGGGAGCAGCAAUGCUCCUGCCGGCGACCGGCGCACGGGUGAGUAACACGUAUGGAACCUGCCCGCAGCAGGGGGAUAAGCGGAAGAAAUUCCGUCUAAUACCGCGUAACACCGCGGAGGGGCAUCCCUCGGCGGUUAAAGAUUCAUCGGCUGCGGAUGGCCAUGCGGCGCAUUAGCUAGUCGGCGGGGUAACGGCCCACCGAGGCGACGAUGCGUAGGGGUUCUGAGAGGAAGGUCCCCCACACUGGUACUGAGACACGGACCAGACUCCUACGGGAGGCAGCAGUGAGGAAUAUUGGUCAAUGGCCGGGAGGCUGAACCAGCCAAGUCGCGUGAGGGAAGACGGCCCUACGGGUUGUAAACCUCUUUUGUCAGGGAGCAAGAGGCGGGUCGGGACCUGCUGUGAGAGUACCUGAAGAAAAAGCAUCGGCUAACUCCGUGCCAGCAGCCGCGGUAAUACGGAGGAUGCGAGCGUUAUCCGGAUUUAUUGGGUUUAAAGGGUGCGCAGGCGGAGGCACAAGUCAGCGGUAAAAUCGCGGGGCUCAACCCCGCUCCGCCGUUGAAACUGUGUCCCUUGAGUGCGCGAAGGGUAGGCGGAAUGCGUGGUGUAGCGGUGAAAUGCAUAGAUAUCACGCAGAACUCCGAUCGCGAAGGCAGCCUACCGGCGCGCAACUGACGCUCAUGCACGAAAGCGUGGGUAUCGAACAGGAUUAGAUACCCUGGUAGUCCACGCAGUAAACGAUGAAUGCUAUCUGUCCGGCCGGAAUGACGGCUGGGUGGCACAGCGAAAGCGUUAAGCAUUCCACCUGGGGAGUACGCCGGCAACGGUGAAACUCAAAGGAAUUGACGGGGGCCCGCACAAGCGGAGGAACAUGUGGUUUAAUUCGAUGAUACGCGAGGAACCUUACCCGGGCUCAAACGACGCAGGGAUGUAUGUGAAAGCAUACAGUCCUUUCAGGACCUGCGUCGAGGUGCUGCAUGGUUGUCGUCAGCUCGUGCCGUGAGGUGUCGGCUUAAGUGCCAUAACGAGCGCAACCCCCAUCUUCAGUUGCCAUCAGGUAGAGCUGGGCACUCUGGAGAGACUGCCGGCGCAAGCUGCGAGGAAGGCGGGGAUGACGUCAAAUCAGCACGGCCCUUACGUCCGGGGCGACACACGUGUUACAAUGGCAGGUACAGCGGGAAGCCAGGCGGCGACGCCGAGCGGAACCCGAAAACCUGUCUCAGUUCGGAUCGGAGUCUGCAACCCGACUCCGUGAAGCUGGAUUCGCUAGUAAUCGCGCAUCAGCCAUGGCGCGGUGAAUACGUUCCCGGGCCUUGUACACACCGCCCGUCAAGCCAUGGAAGCCGGGGGUGCCUGAAGUGUGCAGCCGCAAGGAGCGCCCUAAGGUAAAACCGGUGACUGGGGCUAAGUCGUAACAAGGUAGCCGUACCGGAAGGUGCGGCUGGAACACCUCCUUUCUGGAGCGAGACGAGACGUCCGCUCUCACGGUCCGCCGCAUAAGCGGCGUGGCUGCCCGCCGGGACCUAUCUCGGACUUCGGGACAUGGACAAUACGACAGGGAGAACACGCCUCGACACACACUUCUACGUCACGUUGCAACCUCAUACGAUCCCCGCCCGCAGGCGGAUUCACCCGAGUCCUUGCCAUAAGGGAUCAGGACAGUCCCUUAGCUCAGUUGGUUAGAGCGCUACACUGAUAAUGUAGAGGUCGGCAGUUCAACUCUGCCAGGGACUACUCAGAAGAGAGGACAUUGACAUACUGGAAGCGCGCAUCAAUUAAAAGUUGAUGCGAAGCGAAUCGAAGAAAACGAGUAACACAAAUCAAAGAGCAAGCAACACUGCAACCCUGCUGAGUGAGAAUGAUGCAGGCGAGGGUGUUCUACUGGAAAAACCGAUUGGAUUACUUACAGGUCAUAAAGAAAGGAGAGAAGGGCACAUGAAGGAUGCCUGGGCUCUCGGAGGCGACGAAGGACGUGACAAGCUGCGAAAAGCCGCGGGUAGGAGCAAAUAUCCUGUGAUCCGCGGAUGUCCGAAUGGGGCAACCCGGCGCGGGCGACCGCGUCACCACCCUUGAAGGGUGGAGCGAACCCGGGGAACUGAAACAUCUCAGUACCCGGAGGAAAAGAAAAUAACCCAAUGAUUGCGCAAGUAGUGGCGAGCGAACGCGCAGGAGCCCAAACCGGCGGUGUCGAGGCACCGACCGGGGUUGUAGGACCGCCAAAGAAUGGACAGGACAAGCGUAGCCGAACCCACUGGAAAGUGGGGCCGCAGCGGGUGACAGCCCCGUAGGCGAAACGCGCGUCGUGACAGAGGCGGCACCUGAGUAAGCCGGGACACGAGGAAUCCUGGCCGAAUCCGCGGGGACCAUCCCGCAAGGCUAAAUACUACCGAGAGACCGAUAGCGAACC
rnacentral:rRNA from 1 species